rnacentral:rRNA from 1 species
GAGUAGUAUUAGUUAGAAUCUUGAAACUUAAAAGAUUUGGCGGUAUUUUAUCUUUUUAGAGGAACCUGUUUUUUAAUUGAUAUUCCACGACUUUAUUUACUUUAAUUAUUUUACUUGUAUACCGCUGUCAUGAAUUUAUUUUAAAUUUAUUUUCAGUUUUAUAAGCACUAUGUUAGGUCAAGGUGCAGUUUAUUAAGAUUAUAAUGGGUUACUAUAAAAGAAUGGAUGAAAAAGGAUUUAAUAGUAAAUAAAUAAGAAAUUAAUGAAUAAGAUUCUAAAAUAUG